rnacentral:sRNA from 1 species
GGGUUGGUGCGCGCCGCGCCGCGCGCUCCUGCUUGUCGGCGCGCCCGCCUGGCAGCGACCGAACGAACGAGCACACAUGACACAGCGGAGCCGGCAAAGCAGUACACGCGCGAGGCGCGGGGGGCCACCUCGCGCGCACCAGGGGCCAGGUACGCUCGUCCGCUCGCGUCGCUAGUUUAAUCGGUGGGCAUCAAACGCUGGCUGGAACCGUCCAACUGCCGGCGGGCGGGGCGGAGUCGGCAGUGGAAUUCCAGAGCACGAGCAUUAUCCACUCUGUCCCUCCUCUCAUCGCCCCGGUCGCUCUCACCGCUACUCCCCCACCACGCCCCCAAUUCCACCCCUAUCUCGCUCGCUUAUUAUAUAGCGGCACCAGAUGAGGAAUCAAUCAACUCAUGCCGCUGCACUUGUUUGUUUAUCUUUAAAGCUACUAGUAUGUGUAGCUAGGAACGGAUCCAUCCAUCCAUCGUUGCAUUCCUCGUUACUCCACCCCGUCCUUUUGUUUAUUGGGAGCCACAGAUAAGAUAGCAACGCCCUCCAUCCACCUCCCUCCCCACUUCGCUCUCUCGUCUCCGGCCGCGCGCGCAAGUCCCUGUCAACUGCUAGCCCCGCCUGCUUCGCUCACCUCACCCAACUAACCCCUCCCUCCCCUCGUCCGGAUAACAACCAAUGCCCACCAUCAACACAUCAUGAUUAUGAUAUGGCCAUGAUUGAUUGCAGCAGAGCAUCUGCUUAACACCACUACUAAUACUAGAGUAUCCAUCUCUACUGUGUCUCUGCGACUAUCACAAGGGCAGGUAGCCGGGCGGGCGGCUGGCUGGCUGGCCCGUUUUGGCUGUAAGAGCAUGUACAAUAGGAGGCUAUAAACCAGUUAUAAUCAUAUAUCGAGAAGAAAAGAGAAGAGAGAGAAGAAAGCGGGCUACAGAUUUGUAGCCGGCUGUAACACAAACUUCAAAAUGUUAUAUGUGUAUGAGAGGUGAGACCGGGUAUUAAUGGUGUAGUAUAUUUUUAUAGUUAACUAUUGUAUGAAUAAGAUAUUAGAUUGGCUAUAGAUGUUUUGGAGCUAGUAGUUGGCUAUACUAUUGAUCUUGCUCU